ensembl:lncRNA
CUUGAGUUUGAGUAAGCUCCGGGAGUUGGUGAUGGACAGGGAAGCCUGGCAUGCUGCAGUCCAUGGGGUUGCAAAGAGCCAGACACAACUGAGCAACUGAACUGAACUGAAUAAAAGUGUGAUAUUUAGUUGCUAUCAAGGCAUUGUAUAGAUUUCCCUCAUCUGCUAAUUAAAAUUUACUGUAAAUGUUCUCGCUGAAAUAAACAUAAGUCUCUCUUCAGCUUCCCCACAAAGAAAAUGCUAGAGUUAGGGCUCUAUUUCAGUCUUGAUUUUUGAGGUUUGAAAAGUUUUAACAAGUCAGUCAAGAGAAUGACGAGAAGCUUACCGUGAAUGAUGAGAAUCCCUUGCUCUAGAAGCCACUGAUGUGACAAGAACAAUCAUCCUGGCAUUAGAAUGUGAAGCAGCGGUUGUUUCUCUCUCAACUAAUUUUUGUUCCAAGACCUCACAAGGCGUGAGGAGAAUAACUUCCUGAGUAAAGAAAGCAUUGAGUGCCUGAAUCUAAAGAUACACAAAUCCAAGAACUUAAUGGGAGGAGGGAGGAGACUAGAGGGAAUGAAAACAGAAGGUUCCUCUCGUUCUCCUUCUGCUACAGUCCUAAAAGGACCUGAAAUCGAGUGACUCCUAUUGCCAAUCCUGCGAUCAUUACUCACCUCCCGAAACAGAGGAGAGAUCCAGAACUAAUUACAAAGGAGCAGAGGCAACCUACAUAAGAAAGCCCGGUCCUUUCACUUGAGGCCAACUAGAUCUUCCUUAUACGAUGACUAGCUCCAUUUCCAAGCAGCCUGUCCUUUUAUGGGGACGCAGGAGAGGGCUGGUUAAUUACCAAGACUUCACUGGUAGGAAAACUGAGCCUCCGCAUAAUUCCCUCUAUUUACUGCACGACGGUACUGUUAGGUUUUGUGCCAC